GGCUGGUCCGAUGGCAGUGGGUUAUCAGAACUUAUUAACAUUAGUGUCACUAAAGUUGGUAUACCACCCCCCCACUGCUAAAUUUGACUGGCUUUUA
ensembl:misc_RNA Y_RNA Y RNA